rnacentral:rRNA from 1 species
GGGUCAGUAGGUUGGUCGUGCCACCGGUACGUACUGUUCUAAAUGAUUCCUCCUUCCUGAAGAACCGUAAUGCCAUUAAUUUGGUGUUGCGGGGAAACAGGACUGUUACUUUGAAAAAAUUAGAGUGUUUAAAGCAAGCUAACGCUUGAAUACAUUAGCAUGGAAUAAUGAAAUAGGACGAUCGAUCCUAUUUUGUUGGUUUCUAGGAUUGACGUA